GGUGGUGCUGGCCCUUGCAUCAACCCAUUUGCAGUCCUCUUAUCAGUUCUUCAAACUUUUUAGCUGUUUGGCUGGUUUACAUCUCCAGAAUCUCCCCUUCCAAGCUGCCAUCAAUACCGAAGUCUGGGCACCUCUUCCUUGUCCUCUCUCAGCAGCCAACAGGUUCCUUCUCUGAAGCAUGGAGUCUCUGAAGCCUAAACCCUUCAGAGUCUACGGGCCCUGGUCCCGGAGGUUAAACAUUUACCUUUGGGCUUAAUCAAAACCUUCUCUCAACACAGGUCUCUUUAUCUGAAGCCUUGGCCAGAGAUCCCCUCCAGGUGUUUCUGUAGAGACAUCCUUAGCAGGAGGAGGAAGAGGAAAACUUGAAGACACUUUCCCCUAUUCUGACUCAGGACCCAGUACCUUCUCACUCCUAGCCCUGCUCCCUUCCCCUUUCUCAACUCCAAGAGUCCACAAGACCGCCAGAGCCUUCUGUCUGAGGUCCCCUCAACGGCAAGAUGAUGCCAUCUGUGCUGAUCCACCUGACCGGCAGCAGCUCUGCUGACGAUGGGUAGCUCAGAUCUUUCUCCCAGCCUUGCCGAGCUCCUGACAAAUCUCAAACCCAGUUUGCCUUAAGUCGCUUUCUCUUCCAAGUGGAGCCUAAUCAAAGCUCGGCAGAGGCUGUGUGGCUAUACCAUGAAACCUAAGCCCAGUUCCUGGAAUCAAAGAAGCUUAAUAUGUGUUUACUGAACGAGUGACCAUGAACUUCCACGUCACAACCUCAUCUCGUGCGUCGAGUCUCCAUGUGCUGGACACAGGGGCACAGACAGAUUAGAAACCUCCAGAUUCCAAAUAAGAACUCUCGCUGCCCAUGAAGUGUUCAACCUAUAAAUCAGGAGAUAAUUUAUUACUUUUCGAUUGUCUGCUUUUCCAAGUGAUGGAGAAGACAUAACCUGUUUCUUAAUCUCUGGAGUGCUCGCGGCAGAGGUCUGGAAUGAAGUAAUGUGGUUGGGGCAGUUUUUUUAGUUUUUGAAGGUUGGAGCCAGGGUGCUACACGCUUGUUCUUGCCCUGCUGAUACUAGUCUCCUCAACUUGAUUUUUGGCAUUUCCCCAGAGAUUUCAAACAAAUGAGUCAUGCCAGGGUGCCCUUAGCGGGGGCAGGAGACAGCUGCUGGAUGUGGGAGGGGGAUAUUUGCAGAGUGUGAAGUACUGUGUCUUUACAGGUAGACAGGACUGGAAUUUAUCGCAGACCUGAGACGGCUCCUAUGGUUAGAGGGCUAGACACAAAAUCCCCACACGCACACAGGUGAUGCUGAACAUCAAAGUCCAUACCCCUGAGCAAUGAUGCUAGCUUUGCCCUGCUCCAGUGCAGGGGGAUUUAGUCAGUUUCUCAGCGAGCACACGACGAUGGCUAAUGCAUCCCAGGAAAAUGGGCAGAACAGGUGGAAACGCAGCCAUUGACCCGGUAAACUUUGAACUUUUAUUCCUGCCUCAUAUACAGCACAUUUUCUGCAAAAAUUAUGAGUUAAAUAUAAUUUAAUGGAGAUAAAGUACUGAAAAUAUAAUUAUGACAAUUAAAAAAAAUCUUAUGAAUACAGAAGGAAAAAGAGCCAGUAAACAAAACAAAACAAAAACAAAAUAAGUGAAAUAAGAAUGAAAUCUCCUCAGCUUUGAGAUAGUACAUUCAUUCCUCUUCCUUCCCAGGCUGAAGCUCCCUGGAGCAACUGGCUCCAGAGUAAAAGGUAAUGAUUGCACUGAGAGCGCACACUAGAUUUGCAGGAGCAAGUCUACAUUCCAGCUGGGGCAGCCGAGGCUCAGAAGGUUGCAUCUGAGUCUUCUUCUGUUCCACUGAGGUCUCAGGGAAACGCAGGCUUCGGGGCAUUGAGCUCGCUGCCCAGGUGCGGCUGGAGUUAAUUUUCCUGCGUCCUCAGGCCUCACCGAGGUUUAAAAGUGGGUGCUCUCCUUCUCUGUCGUGUUCAGCUGCAAGUAUUCCAGGGUGCCUUUCUUGUAGCUGGCCACCCUGGUUGUUUUUCGGUUCCUUAUCCCCGAGGCCUGUCUCUUCUGCAAAGAGCUGGCGAUCAUGUCUGCAAACUCGGCUUGCAAGCGCUGCUGAUUCUCCCUGGAGAGAGUGGGGAGGGAAAGCGGAACUUCUCAGCAGUUCCCACAGAAUAUCCCUUAGCUCCAGAACCAUCAGCUCAGCUCACCAAAUCCUUGUUGAACACUCUGUGCUGAACACAGGAAGCCCAGAGAACACAGAAUGAUCCUUGCCUUUGAUGCACUUAAAGAACUGUCAUCCCUGCUCUGGGUGGUUGUAGGAAAAGCAAGAUGUAUUUCAAGCAGAAAACUGUAUUUCCAUUUCAAGGCAAAACAACACGCAGUUAGAAUUCAGAGGAGCAGUUAGAUUGACACAUACCACUGCAGGGAGGGGAAGAGAAGCCCCUGCCAGAAAACCCUGAAAACUUGCUGGCCUCACACCUGAGCAGUGUGAGUCUCGUGUGGGGAAGACUCAGAAUGGAUGGAGGAUAUGAAGAAUUUAGAAUGGACCUGGGACACUCUCAGUUAGGGGCCAGGUCUCCUGUGCCCCAGGACGAUCUGGGUUAUUUUGGCGUCUCUACUGUCUUGCCAUCUGUCUGGGUCCAGCUUCGAGGUGUCCAUAAGGCAGGGUUUCUCUCCCAUAGCAAAAGCCACACCAACAGCCACAUGACUGACUGCAGUAGCCAAGGUACAACUGGACAACCAUCUGAGUCACCUUUAGGGGAACUGAAACCGGUUACCGCGACCUGAAACCUGUCUUCCUCAUCUCAGGGAGAACACAAACUCCAUGUGAAGACCCAGAACCGCAGUCCUGGAGCUGAGGGAGUUCCUGUUUUCAUGAAGUGGCUCAGCAGAGCACUGCAGGCAGGGGUGGACAUGGGGAGUGCCUCUUGCCCCCAGCAUGCUCUACUCCUGUCACAACCAGACAUGCAGGAGGCGAGCCCUAAACUGUCCUCUGCUCUCCUAAGCAAGCCCGAAACAGCCAUUUUCCAGCAGCCAGGGAAGGGAGGUCCCGAAGCCUUUUCAUGUGUGUAGUCUCCUGCCUUGUAUUCAGCACAUCACUGUCACUGGCAAAGCACGUGCUAAUGGUUAAACUGCCUGCAUGCAGCGCGACUUCCGAAGCCAAGACGCCCAGGCCCCCGCCCCUCCGCGCCCCGGCCAGCAGCUUACACUGUAGGAGGGGUCGGCAGGCUGUACUCCUGGUCCUUCACGCCGGUCAGCCAGUAGGUGGUCUCAGUUCCCCUUCCCUAGUGAGACAAGGAAGGCGUGAACCACGGAGGCCAGCGAGACAGUCCGUUCUAGCCCAGCAUUCAACAAGUCUCUGUUUCCAAGAGACACGGCACCUCUAUCAGAGUUUCUCAUCAGUGCCUACUUUGAGGCACACCUCUUCCUCAUAUGAUUUCCAUCAUCUCUAGACCCAUCUUUAUUUCAAGUGCCUUUUAAAGAUAAGUCUCUCAUUCACCAGAUAUGUUUUUUUUUCAAAGUAGGAUUUUUUUUUCCCCAAAAGGCAUUUCAAAAUAUCACCAUAGCAACAGCACAAUAACUCUAAGUGAAGAAGGAAGAAGAUUCCUCUACAAUCCUGCUAUGCCAACAAAUCCAACUGGUUUCUCUGGUCCACAUUUUACUCUAGCCCACUUUGCCACAAAACUUUUGCCACAGUUUCCCUACCUUAAGUGUGUAAAUUAUAAACACAUGUGCAUCACAUGUGUCAUAAAUACUCACUAAGUGACAUUUGCUAGGUCCACCUGGAAGCUAUAAAAUAAAUGGAAACACAAGAAAUUGUUUUUGCUAGAGCUUGUAUUUGAAAAGGAGACUUGAAGGUUACAUAUGUAAAAAUCACUCAUUUAAAAAAAUAGUGGUUUGGGGCUGUGUUUGAGCUGUAAUAAUCCAUCAACCGCUUCUAUUAUGGGGGGAACACUGCAGAAAAUUUUUAUGGAGAAUUAAAAAGGCGAGUGUGACGUUUGGACACAACUGCGUAGGAGGAGGCUUUUCCAAGUUGCAACCAGGGUGUAAAGGCCAGGAGCACCAUGGCUGGUGCAGGGAAGUGUCACAGUGGGUAGCUGGCUUCAGACAAACUGUGAUCGGCUUCACAAAGCAGCCCGAGGGCCACCUGGAGACAUCUGGUGGCUCUGGCAGGCAGCUGCUCUAACUGUGUGUCUGGAGCAGGGAUUCUCACACCUCCCUGAGCAUCACAGCCACUUAGAAUCUGCGUUUAAAAUUCAGAUUCCUGAGCUACACCCAAGAAGAGUCCAGCUCAGCAGGCCUGGUGGAGAGGCGGGCACCUGCAUUUUAACAGGUGCCUAGAUACUGCUAAGUCAGAAUUGGGUGCCACACCCUGAGCUUCACUGGUCCAGAGCCUCGGAACAGAGCAGCAAGAGGAGAGAGGUGGCCUCAGAGAACAGCAGCGUCUUGCAGUGAGAGCAAGGAUGAACUGGCACUCAGUUCUCUUCAGGAUGGCCAUCGUGGAGCUGCUCACAUGAAUUCUUAAGGCUGGAAAUGCAAAAUAAAUGCAUAAUAAAUGGAAAUCUCGACCGUCUUGAAAGCUAUUGUAGGGCCCCAUUUGUUUCCCCUUGAUCCGGAACAUUUAUUACAGGUGCUCUUGACAGCUUACGUAUUGUAGUUUAAAAAAAAAAAAAAUACUUAAAAAUACCUUCGGUGAGACAAGAACGACUGUCACACAUGGAAAAAGAGAGGGUCUGGUGCUGUUUCUCAGUGUCCCGAGUGAUGGAGCCCCCUGGUCACGCCCCACAGAUUCUCAUCCCAGCUCAGAGUGGGAGCCCGCGGGCCCGGGUUUGGAUUUAGCCUACAGUGCUGAGCUUGAGAGUUAGAAUUCAAUUUUGGAUCUCAGUGUAAAAAUUUCAAUAAGUAGCUUAAGUGUGGGCAGCAGGGUGAAGAUUCAGGAGAGGGUUAUAGAGUCUUGAUUUUCUCAUAUUUUACUCUUCCGGGGUACUGCUAUCCCUCCAACAAACAAGUGGUGAGGGCAGUAUCAUCCACAGGCUCAUGGCGCCACCACCUUCCCCACUCUGGGUACCACAGACCAUAACAACGCUAACGGCAGCCCCGUGUCGUGUGCCUACCACGGAUCGGGAGUGCUAAGUGCUUAACGCGCACCACCUCAACUCCUUCCAGAAACCUUUCCGGCAAGGCUGGCAUCUCAUCCUCAAUUUAUAUCUUCAACUUUCUGACACUUAGAAAGAUGAGCUAACUUCCCCCCGAGCCUACACACAGGCAUUUGUAUAGUUGCGAUUUUAACCCAAGUCUGCUUGGCCCCAACCUUAAUCUUUACACUGUGAUUUUCUAGUACAGACCAGUAUCCAGUUGUCAGCAGACUGACAAAACACCACGUUACCACCUGUGUUUUGGAACCCCUCCCCCACAUGCAUCUUUCUUUCUCUCUCGUGUGUAUAUCGAACACUACCACGGUCAUCAGCAUUUAUUGAGCGUUUACUACGUGGAGCACACAGAGCCUCUCCCUUACCAGGCAAAAUGUGCUGUAGGCGUUUGCAUAUAACAGAUGCUUAUCUUUUUCUUUACUAAAACCAAUUCCCAGGAAAAUCAAAUAAAAGAGGAAAAGGAAAAUGGACCAGAGGAUAUGCUCUGAGUCUAACCCAUGGAAGAUUUGUUUAACUGACAUGGAUCUACGUGAAAUGUCAUGACUAUUUCAGGUAGAUCGUGCCUGAAUGCCUUGCAAAUGACCAAAACUAAUGAGAACAGUCUAAAACUGAGCCAAAAAGGAAGAACAGAAUAAUUAUCAGUCAAUGGCAAUAUGUAGCAAGGACUGGAUUGACAAGGGCCCACGGCCAGUCGAUGGGAAGAGUCAUUCUGCAUCUCACUGGUACUUGUUACGCAUUUUAUCCCACAAUCCCCUGUGCUGGAGGACAAAAUCUUUGUCCUCUAAGGAAAGCAAUCUCCCUUCUUACGGAGGCCAGUGGAUUCCAUCCUAGAGGCCGUGUUGACUGUAUCUCCAAACAGGCAAUAACGAGGCAUCUUGAUCCCCACAACUCCAGCAGCACAGGGACCUGAAAGGGACAGAAAGCACGAAGUGGAGGCAACAGAAACCAGAGUCAAGUUAAGAUUCCACAUCUAAGUGAUCGCAUACAGUAUUCGUCUUUCUCCGUCUGACUUAUUUCACUUAGUAUAAUGCCCUCCAAGUCCAUCUAUGUUGCUGCAAAUGGCAAAAUUGUGUUCUUUCCUAUGGCCUCCUUACUACUUUAAAUAGAAGGCUCUCUGGAAGGCUGAAGACUAUCCCGCUGCUGGCCUGCUCAGGUGGCCACACAGCCCUGAGCUCUGAACGGCUGGAGGGCGCACUACACUCGAAGGCUCAAUGACCCAAGUUUGUUUUCUUUUAUUUUUAUUUAAGUCAGAGUAGCAUUUCUGGGGUUGGUGGUCUGAUGAUAGAGGACCCAGAAGACAAGGACUCGCCAUCAGCUUCCCUGAGCAUUUCACGUGCCACGUGAAUGCAGCAGGCUGGGGGAGCCUGUGGCACAAGACAUUCCAGAAAGAGGAGGAAAAGCCAAGUUAGGACGAGGCCCAGUGUAUCAGGUAGGAGAGAAGGGUUGUUCAGUCAGCUAUUCAUGUGGAAUGACUGAAUGCAAGGAGUCAAAAUUUUAGAAGUUAAAGGUUAACUCAGAAACUGCAAAAUCAGGUUGUGGACAGAGGUGAUGACUGAAGUUCUGCUUGGCUCACUGGGUUUUGAUCUAUAUGAGUUUCUUUACAGAUCUGUCCUGCCGAUACUCUGUGUUUAUGAACACUGAAAAAAUUUAAACAUUGCGUUGCUCACUGUUUAUGAAUACCGAAAAAAAAUACUGAAUGCCAAACCCUUCCCUGUCAGGUUCGAUGCAAAAAUACAAAAGAAACAAACAAUAAACAAAUAAAAAAAAGACAAACAAAAGCAGUAGUGGCAACUUGAUGAGAAGAUCUCUGAGCUCCCCAAACACGUCAGGCUGUGCCCUGGCUUGUCACUUCAAAGCUGGAGUGAUGAGCUGGGGAAGGGCCUGGAGGCAGAAAAUCCCUGCGAUAUUAUUACGUCUUGUUUUCAACUAUCAAUAUUUAACUGAAACCUUUUAAUUUCUUACUCAACCACUCUGGGUAUGUGUAUCUACUGUCCACCUUCAUUCCAGCCCCAUGUGGCAGUGCCUGGGCCCUGGCGGUGACUCAGGCACUGAGUAGAUCACAGGGUUAAAGAGACGGGACCAGGACCCAGAGCUCCAUUCUCCCUGCUGGGUUCAGUCCCUCCUGCCGCUGUCCAUUCCUCCAGGCCUGACAAUUUGCAACAGGCCACAGAGAGGUUCCCUUAUGUGUAUAUGGGACAUCGGUGGCAUUUGGUUGUGGACACAAUGAGAAAGGCCACAGCUAUGUUCCUGGCUGUCAAAGACGUGGCAGCUGGUUUUAACUUCCGUUUACUGUCACUCUGGGACUCCCACUGAUUCAUUACUCAGUCAGUAAAUAUUUACCACCUGACUCUGGGCUGGGCACCGCGGAUACAGGAUGACUCUUGCGAACGCAGCUGCCUGGUCCUUGCCACAAAGCCUGGGGUGAUCUUGGACUUUCUAUCCCCUGAGUCUUCGGUGAGGCUUGGAGGGCAGGAUGAGGGGCAACGACAAGGAAUUACAGGGAGAUGUGCUGUAUUUUAACACAGGGACAGACUGUCCAGUAAUUACAACUAUUCAAUAAUGGAGUGAGUUGACUCUGGAAAUAGUGAAUUUUCAAGGAAUCCUGGGAUUGUUCUACUAUUAUUCUUCUAUAUUAUUAUUUAUCUUGGAAACUAUAAUUUAUGCUCUGUCAAGGAUUAAUCUAGGUGACUUCUGAGUUCCUCUCCAACUGUAUUUUUCUAUAAUAUUUGUAAGUCAUCUUCCAAAUCUAUACAUUCAAGGUUGGGUGACUUUCGUGGUCUUCAAAGUGAUCCAUGUACUUUCUGUGCCACUGAGGAGUUUGGGGAAACAGAAAUGCCCUUUUAUUACAGGAAUUCGACUGGAUAUUUUUCCCCCUAUAGACAAUCUAAUCCAUUUAAGAUACUGUAAUAUUUUAGUGGAAAAAUGUACAGCAGUUGCGGUCGGGGGAAGGGAGGGGAUGGCGAGGAGAUAAAUGACAUAGUGAAUAUGGUGACUUACACAGGGAGUCUGGGGCUCGGUAUUUUAGUUUGUGGUUGUGUUUAUCAUUCCGUGGGUGCUGUUAUCACUGCUGUUUCCUAGAACUGUCUAGAGACUAAUUAUAGGUCUAGCUAUGUGAGGAUGAGUAAUGGGACCUCGUAUUUGGCAGAUGGAUUCGAGAGUAAACCUCACGUGAAAACUGAUCACAUUUGAAGAUCCUUGAACCCUUCUGAUUUAGUAUGGUUCCCGUGUGCUAAGAUGCUCAACUCCAUACCAGAG